rnacentral:lncRNA from 1 species
UCGUUUUAAUUAUGUCAAUACAAUGCAGUUAUUUACUUGUAGUUGUGGACUUCUCCUUUUAAUUAACAGAGUUAUGUGGAUGGGGAUGGGAAACAAGAUGAAAUUGUUGAUCAGGGUUGAGGAGAACGUGAUGGAGAGGAAGAUAGAUACUAAGGCCAUGGCUUGUCGAUAUUGAAGGCAGAUCGAUAGAGAAGAGUGGUGUUAGGAAUGUGACCUGAAAAUUGAGGGCACAAGAGAUGGCAGUGAUUCAGAAAAGAGAGGAGGAAUACAAACGAGUUUAGAGCUAAGAAGAGAUUGUGUUUUCUAUAAAUAAGAUAUUUAUGUUUUGUAAUUCAUAACAGAUUCUUAGCACUAGAUACUACUAGCCAAAUGAUGCUCUGAAAGAUUGGAAACGAUAUGAUUUUGUUUUAAUAUAUUUAUGCUUUGUGAUUUUGUUUUAAUAUAUUUAUGCUUUGUGAUUUUUUGUUGAUUGUUUAUCAAAAA